AUACGUAGGACCCGAGCGUUGUCCGGAUUUACUGGGUAUAAGGGGGCGGAAGCAGGUUAUUAAGGCAGGGGGUAAAAGCCGGGGCUCAAAUGGGGAGCUGGCCUUUAAACUGAUAAAACUGAAUAUGAGAAGGGGUGAUAGAAUUUCCGGUGUAAGCGUUAAAUGCGUAGAUAUCAGGAGGAAUACCGGUGGCGAAGGCGGUCAUCUGGCUCAUUAUUGACGCUGAAGCACGAAAGCGUAGGUAGCGAACAGGAUUAGAUACCCUGGUAGUCUACGCUGUAAACGAUGUAUGCUUGGUGUUAUGCGUUUAUGCGCGUAGUGCCGUAGGAAAUCUGGUAAGCAUACCACCUGGGGAGUACGAAUGCAAGUUUGAAACUCAAAUGAAUUGACGGGG
rnacentral:rRNA from 1 species